rnacentral:rRNA from 1 species
GAUGAACGCUGGCGGCGUGCCUAAUACAUGCAAGUCGAGCGAACAGACGAGGAGCUUGCUCCUCUGACGUUAGCGGCGGACGGAUGAGUAACACGUGGAUAACCUACCUAUAAGACUGGGAUAACUUCGGGAAACCGGAGCUAAUACCGGAUAAUAUAUUGAACCGCAUGGUUCAAUAGUGAAAGACGGUUUUGCUGUCACUUAUAGAUGGUUCCGCGCCGCAUUAGCUAGUUGGUAAGGUAACGGCUUACCAAGGCAACGAUGCGUAGCCGACCUGAGAGGGUGAUCGGCCACACUGGAACUGAGACACGGUCCAGACUCCUACGGGAGGCAGCAGUAGGGAAUCUUCCGCAAUGGGCGAAAGCCUGACGGAGCAACGCCGCGUGAGUGAUGAAGGUCUUCGGAUCGUAAAACUCUGUUAUUAGGAAAGAACAAAUGUGUAAGUAACUAUGCACGUCUUGACGGUACCUAAUCAGAAAGCCACGGCUAACUACGUG